AUUGAACGCUGGCGGCAGGCCUAACACAUGCAAGUCGAGCGAGCGGCGGACGGGUGAGUAAUGUCUGGGAAACUGCCUGAUGGAGGGGGAUAACUACUGGAAACGGUAGCUAAUACCGCAUACCAUCAGAUGAACCCAUAUGGGAUUAGCUAGUAGGUGGGGUAACGGCUUACCUAGGCGACGAUCCCUAGCUGGUCUGAGAGGAUGAUCAGCCACACUGGGACUGAGACACGGCCCAGACUCCUACGGGAGGCAGCAGUGGGGAAUAUUGCACAAUGGGCGCAAGCCUGAUGCAGCCAUGCCGCGUGUAUGAAGAAGGCCUUCGGGUUGUAAAGUACUUUCAGCCGGGAGGCGUUACCGGCAGAAGAAGCACCGGCUAACUCCGUGCCAGCAGCCGCGGUAAUUC
rnacentral:rRNA from 1 species